CCCCUAGUAACUGCGAGUGAAGCGGGAAAAGCUCAAAUUUGAAAUCUGGCGGUUUUUGACUGUCCGAGUUGUAAUCUAGAGAAGUGUUACCCGUGCUGGACUGUGUACAAGUCUCCUGGAAUGGGGCAUCAUAGAGGGUGAGAAUCCCGUCUUUGACACGGACUGCCAGUGCGCUGUGGGUGUGCUCUCAAAGAGUCGAGUUGUUUGGGAAUGCAGCUCAAAAUGGGUGGUAAAUGCCAUCUAAAGCUAAAUAUUGGCGAGAGACCGAUAGCGAACAAGUACCGUGAGGGAAAGAUGAAAAGAACUUUGGAAAGAGAGUUAAACAGUACGUGAAAUUGCUGAAAGGGAAACGCUUGAAGUCAGUCGCGUCGGUGGGAAAUCAGCCUUGCUUUUGCUUGGUGUACUUUCCUGUCCUGACGGGUCAGCAUCAAUCUUGACCAUUGGAUAAAGUCUGUGGGAAUGUAGCAUCUUUUGGAUGUGUUAUAGCCCAUUGUCGCAUACGGUGGUUGGGAUUGAGGAACUCAGCACGCCCGCGAGGGACGGGUUUUCGACCACGUUUUUCCGUGCUUAGGAUGCUGGCAUAAUGGCUUUAAUCGACCCGUCUUGAAACACGGACCAAGGAGUCUAACAUGCCUGCGAGUGUUUGGGUGGAAAAACCCAUGCGCGCAAUGAAAGUGAAAGUUGAGAUCUCUGUCAAAGGAGAGCAUUGACGCCCAGACCAGACCUUCUGUGACGGAUCUGCGGUAGAGCAUGCGUGUUGGGACCCGAAAGAUGGUGAACUAUGCCUGAAUAGGGUGAAGCCAGAGGAAACUCUGGUGGAGGCUCGUAGCGAUUCUGACGUGCAAAUCGAUCGUCAAAUUUGGGUAUAGGGGCGAAAGACUAAUCGACC
rnacentral:rRNA from 1 species